rnacentral:rRNA from 1 species
CCUUUACUAUAGCUUCGCCUUGGCGCUAGCGACCGUAUGUGUAGGAUAGGUGGGAGGCUAUGAAGCCGGGGCGCCAGCUCUGGUGGAGCCAUCCUUGAAAUACCACCCUUACUGUCGUUGACGUCUAACCGAGGGCCGUUAUCCGGUCCCGGGACAUGGCGUGGUGGGUAGUUUGACUGGGGCGGUCGCCUCCUAAAGUGUAACGGAGGCGCGCGAUGGUGGGCUCAGACCGGUCGGAAAUCGGUCGUCGAGUGCAAUGGCAUAAGCCCGCCUGACUGCGAGACUGACAAGUCGAGCAGAGACGAAAGUCGGCCAUAGUGAUCCGGUGGUCCCGCGUGGAAGGGCCAUCGCUCAACGGAUAAAAGGUA